rnacentral:rRNA from 1 species
CCUACGGGAGACUGCAGUGAGGAAUAUUGGUCAAUGGCCGAGAGUCUGAACCAGCCAAGUCGCGUGAGGGAAGACGGCCCUACGGGUUGUAAACCUCUUUUGUCGGGGAGCAAAGCGAACCACGUGUGGUUCAUUGAGAGUACCCGACGAAAAAGCAUCGGCUAACUCCGUGCCAGCAGCCGCGGUAAUACGGAGGAUGCGAGCGUUAUCCGGAUUUAUUGGGUUUAAAGGGUGCGCAGGCGGAGGUGCAAGUCAGAAGUGAAAUCCAUGGGCUUAACCCAGGAACUGCUUUUGAAACUGCAGAGCUAGAGUGGAGUAGAGGUAGGCGGAAUGCACGGUGUAGCGGUGAAAUGCGUAGAGAUCGGGAGGAACACCAGUGGCGAAGGCGGCCUACUGGGCUCUAACUGACGCUGAGGCACGAAAGCGUGGGUAGCAAACAGGAUUAGAUACCCUGGUAGUC